UACGUAGGGUGCGAGCGUUGUCCGGAAUUACUGGGCGUAAAGAGCUCGUAGGUGGUUUGUCACGUCGUCUGUGAAAUUCCGGGGCUUAACCUCGGGCGUGCAGGCGAUACGGGCAAUACUUGAGUGCUGUAGGGGAGACUGGAAUUCCUGGUGUAGCGGUGAAAUGCGCAGAUAUCAGGAGGAACACCAAUGGCGAAGGCAGGUCUCUGGGCCACUACUGACGCUGAGAAGCGAAAGCAUGGGGAGCGAACAGGAUUAGAUA
rnacentral:rRNA from 1 species